ensembl:lncRNA
CCCGCCCGCUGGCCCCGCCCGUGUCCCCACCUGCCACCCGCUGGCCCCGCGCGCUGCCCGCUGUCCCCGCCUGGUGUCCCCACCUGCCGCCCGCUGUCCUCGCGUCCUGUCCGCUGGCCCCGCGCGCUGCCCGCUGUCCCCACCUGGUGUCCCCAUCUCCCGCCCGCUGUCCCCGCCUGCUGUCCCUGCCCGCUGUCUGCACCUCCUGCCCGGUGUCCCCGGGCCCCCGUCGCCCACUGUCCCCACCCAGUGUCCGACUGGUGACCCCACCCGCUCUCCCCGCCGCCCACCUGCCGCUCCUCGCGGGUUUGCCCACAGGUGCCCCGCCCUCGGUCGGAUCCCCUUGGUCGGACGUCGGAGUUCAAAGUUUAGGAUCAACACAGCUCAACCCGAGUCGGAGUUAAACCCCAAGGAGGCAGAGGGUGCGGCGCAGGCGGGGCGGCGGGACCUCGACCUCCGCUCGGGGCCGGGCCGGCCGCGUGGUCUCCCCCCAGGCCCCUGGCCCCGGGGUCUCCCUCCCCAGUCCGCAGCCCGGCUCGGGGACGCAGGAUCCGAGUGAACCAGGCCGAGCGGCCGGAGCGCCUCGUGCAGGCAGCGCGCGUGGGGCCAGGAGCCUCGACCCGCAAGACCACGGACACUUGCUGCCGGGCCCGGGGGGACCUCGCGCCUACUUGGGUCUCUGGCAGCCGGUGGACCCCAGCUCAGUUGGCCCCAAGGCCGGGGGCCCCCAUCAGGACCCGCCCCUCAGUCUGGGACGCCCGAGAACAGUCCUUCCCGUUCUGGUUCCUCCCUGGAGCCUUGCGCCCUCGGCGCGCCCGGGCCUGGUCGCCGGGCUGUCCGCUCCCGGAGCGCCCUGCGAGGUGACCACCGCGCACACCCGCUCGGAGCGGGUGUUUGAGGCCGUCCUGCUGCGCGUCCUUCCCCGCCUCCACCCACCGCCUGUGCAGGCCUUCCGCCUCUGUUCUUUUCAUGACUUUUUUAAAAAGUUGAUUACCUUUUUCCAAACCACACUUCUAUCGUAUCAAACUCGAGAACUAUUUCGACCUACAUUUUGAAGAAUCAGAAUGUUCACUUCUUUGCAAAAUAAUAAACACAUCUUUCUCUUGGUUUGGGAGUCCCAAAUGAUUAUUCUCUCAAUUAAAUUCGAUUGUGUUCCCGAUGAAUAUGGAAACAGCGAAUGGUGGAAUUCUUGCCUUCUCUUUGCUGGGUUCCAAGUUCGCUUGACUGAUGUGGAUGGAGCACCUUUCCCCUGCAAUCUUUGAGGUACUGUGAGGUACUGUGUUCCUUUAUAAGACAGGUAACAGUAUUUCCAAGCAAGGGGCAAAUUAAGUUUAAUUACAGGAGGAGUUUUGAGUGUUUUUCUGAAUAAAUUAAGAAGAUGCAGUGUUUGGAAAACUUCCAAAUCGGGAAGACACUUUGUGCCUUAAUAUCUUUCAAGUUUUGAGAGAGUCAAUUUCCUUCUUUCUUUACCUAGAAAUUAUAUUAUUUUCUUCCCUCUCUGUUGGCAUAAAGACAAUUGCUAGUGAUUACAUUACCUGAAAGGAAAAGUGAAUUUAAUAGUUGGAACAGCAGAACCGGAGAUCAGAGCUCUUUCUCUGAGUCUUCUUCCUACUGCGAUAACCUCCUUUUCAAGAAGGCUGAAGCCCGGUCUCGGACCUGAGGCAGAGGUGAUCAGGGAACAAGAUCCAAUUAUUCCAGUUCGCUAUACUGAGCAACUUAACCUGGAGAACGUGAAGAUCUCUGUCAAUGAAUCCUCUGCCUCAAAACGGAAGGAAGACAGUCUUCUAAGAGAGAACAAAUGUCAGAAAACGCCGUCUUCAUUUAACCCAAAUUCUUGAGGGUUUUUAAAUGCUUUUUAUUGUUGUUGCUGAGGAAGACUGUCCCUGAGCUAACAUCUGUGCCAGUCUUCCUCUAUUGGUAUGUGGGUCCCAGCCACGGCAUGGCUGACGAGUGGUGUAGGUUGGUGCUGGGUCUGAACCCACAAACCGGAUGGCCGAACUUAACCACUACUCCACCAGGCCGGCCCUGGCUUUUUUUUUUUUUUAGUUCCGCAUUUAGUUGCUUUCCUUCCUUCUAAUUAUUCUCAAAGUAUCUGAAGAACCUAUUGCCAUCUAGCCAUCUGUGCUUUACAUACUUACUUUUCUCUUCGUACUUCCUACUUUUAAAUUAGCUGGCUUGUCUUCUGGGCCUUUUCAUUAACUUCAUGUCUUUUUUUACUGAAAAUCAGACAUGUCAAAAGACUUCACAAAUUAAAUCAAUUUCUAUUCUAUCUUUAAUGGAACACUGUAUUUGUUAUUAGUUUCAUUUACUUGAGGUGGGUCUGCCUUAUCACAUUCUCCAGGAAGAUGAGAUAUGCUGGCGCCUCAGUUUCUGAAAAUGGGCCACCACUGACAAAGCUAGCACAGCAGCAGGGCCCCGGGACCUUGGCGUGCUGAGCCCUGAGCUCAUCAGCACCUUCCAGCUCAGUGGAGGACAGAGGAGCACAGGAAGAGAGGCUACUCCUUUCUUUCCAUCAUGUCCCACCGAUUAAAAUUAAGAUUAAAAGGUAAUGACUCAGAACCACAUUGACUUAUUGAUGUCCAUUGUCCGCAGCAGUUUUGAGGAGCGUCAUGGCCAAGCCUUGAUGAAGCUCUAUUUCAGAGAAACAUAAAACUUAUCUAAACAAGAACAUUAAAACCAUCGUUACUUAUAGUUUGUUCUCAUGGUCAACAUUCUUCAAAAAGUCCUGUGACUGAUGUUAAAAUUGCAAUAUACAAUUUCCUAUGAAUAUAUACAUUCUUAUUAAAAGACUCUAAAAAGAACUGUUACAGGAGUGCUUUGUACCCCAGGAAUAGCAGGGAAUUCAGAGCAUGUUGGGAAAAUGUUUACGCACCGUUUUAAAAAUUGGCACAUUGUGAAGCUUUUCAACAACAAACUGUCACCUUACACUUGAAUAGAUAAAUACACAGGGGAGAAAAUUAAUAUUGUAUAGUCACCUUUUCUCACUAGAAUUCAUGUUCUUGAUCGAUUCCCAAUGUUUGCAGCUAGAAUAAUCAGAUAAGAACAAACACAAAGGAAAGCAUGAGGGAUCCAACAACGAAAGCCUUGCAGAAAAAUCCUCUCUUCUUUUUCAUUCAGCUUAUAUAAUUGUAGAUUUUGUUACUGUCACAGAAAAUUGUUUCCUUUUAUUUGGUUUUAACUUAAAAAUGUUUACAGUUGUACUAAAUCAUUUCUAGCCUGCUGAUAGCAAGAAAUUAACUUUCUCG